rnacentral:lncRNA from 1 species
GAGAGAACAACAUGAAGCGACAGAUGGCAGUUGCGGAGUGCACCUCUGAGAGGGUGGUGUGCGGUGAAGCGGGAGUAGAACAGGAGAGAAGUUGAGCUCCAGUCCCUCUAUUCUGCCGUCUUCGACAAGACAACACUCUUUUGCCAGUGCAGCCCUCCAGGGAAUAUGUACUGAGUGACACUUCACAGAACGAAACAGAAAGCAGUGGUUAAUUUGACCCACUACAGAUGACAGAAACGGAACCAACCGAGUGACCGAUGACAAUUAUUUCCAACAUUUAAAAUACCGAGAUGAGAAAACUGGCAACAGAAAAACUGGAUAAUUUACCCAAAGUCAUUUCUCUAGGAAAUUAUAGAGCUGGUACUCAAUCUCAGGCCAUCUGAUCCAAAUCCAUGUAAAUAACAGUUAUCCCAGGAGUCUGUAAGAAUGCAUGUGGCCAGCAAGUCCCUGACCUUACAGUGACUGUGAACAUGAGUGGGGGGAGGGAAAACUGGAUCCAUUGGUUCUCAUUCUAUGAACCCAGUGUACGAGGAAUCUUAUUUUCUAAGGAAAUAAACUCAACUUCUGCUAUCAGCCUAGUCAGGUGAGACAGAAGCACGAAGUCAUUUAACUAUCAGCGUACACCUGACCCCUGGUGUCUGCCAGGGAUUGGUUGCAGGCCCCCGAGGAUAACACAGUUCACAGCUGCUCAAGUCCCUUCUAUAACAUGGUGUAGUGUUUGCAUAUAAUCUCCACACCUCCUCCUGUAGACUCUACGUCAUCUCUAGAUUACUUACAAUACAGAAUACAAUGUACAUACUAUGUAAAUAGUUGCCUUCACAUUUGUAAAUUUAAGUUUUGCUUUUUGGAACUUUCUGAAGUUGUGUUCGAAUAUGUUCAUUCUGCUGUUGGUUGAAUCUGGAUGCGGAAACCACAGAUAAGGAGGGCCAACUGUAUGUAACUAUGUGAGAUGAUCCCCAGCUGAAAAAGAGGAAGCGAAACGGAUACACCCUUAUGCCUGUAGAGAUACAAGAUUCUGCUUCCCCAGAUGGCCUCAGCAGGGGUGGGUUCUGUGAGACCUGCUUUAUAAAGAGAAGGGCAAUGUCACCAGACUCAUAUCUGUGGAACUCGGUUAGCAUUCUGUAAAGAGGGAGCCGGUUACACCGUACCAGCUGUCAAUACUCCUGUUUUAAUAAGAAAACCACUUUUGGAACAAAAUCGGACCGACACUGGGAUAGACUAGGAUGGCGUAGACACAACAAGUACUAACUUGGUGUGGGAUUAUUAAGACGCAAGCUCCCCAACCCAGCUGAGUCAAUGGGCAGGAUCCCUUUGCAGUUUUCAACUUGUCCUGAAAUGCUGUAAGCCUCCUGCCACGUGGAAUCAGGGCAGCGUCUUUGGAAACCAAUGAGGACCGUCACACCACCCAGGAAGAGAGCGGCGGGGUGCUGUGAACGGCUAUCUGGAUACGCGUGUCUGGCAGUGAAAAGACAAUGGCUUCUAGCCAUAGAGUCACACCUUUUGAUUAACGAGGAAAAGGGAGGACCUCUUCUGUUUGGACCAACUCAGUAUUCCCUAGACAACUAAGUUUCCUUUUUUCUGCCUCUCCUGACAGUCCUGAGAGGCGGCUUGGACCGUCUCGCCUGGUCACAUGACUUCUGCUGUCCAGAUCUGCACAGGCUGCCCCUUUCCUCCUCGUUGCUCUCUGGGCUCCUAAACACCAGGUUGGCUUUGGGCGCUCCGGGUCUCCUAAAGCCUUCCUUUGGGACUUCUGGUCAGCUCGGUAGCUGCUAGUUUCUAGCACACUGAAUUUUGCCUGCCUUUGGCCUCUGGAUCACUUAGUUGUUUGUUUGUUUUUUCCCUUUGAUUCUUGUGUACCACACUCCUCUUUUUUUCAUGCUGGCUGGCCCAUUGCCCAGCAGACAUCCAUUUCCAACUUUCCUUACCUGUUUGAUUUUGUUUUACCUGUUUCUGCAAAGCACUAUCAUGACUCAGAAUCCCAGAACUGACAUUUUUAAUGGAGCCGUCAAGAGGAAAUGCUUUUUGGAAAGAGGAAACACACAAUUAGAGGAGAAGAUGGUUUAGCCUUCUUUAGAUUUGAGUCUCAGGAAGGCAACAAUAGAGACUAGAAAGUUUAAAAGAUCUGAAUUAUAGCAGAAUGCCAUUUGUUGUUGUAAUACAUGUAAAAAAAUAAUAAUUAUCUCAGAAUAAUUUGAAAUAAGAAACCGGAUAGAUCAUUGAUCCUUAAUAAUAGCCAAUUUUUCUUUUUCC